rnacentral:rRNA from 1 species
UACGGAGGAUGCGAGCGUUAUCCGGAUUUAUUGGGUUUAAAGGGUGCGUAGGCGGAGUGUCAAGUCAGCGGUAAAAUUUCGGGGCUCAACCCCGUCGUGCCGUUGAAACUGACGCCCUUGAGUGAGUGAGAAGUAAGCGGAAUGCGUGGUGUAGCGGUGAAAUGCAUAGAUAUCACGCAGAACUCCGAUUGCGAAGGCAGCAUACCGGCGCCCUACUGACGCUGAGGCACGAAAGCGUGGGGAUCGAACAGG